CCUACGGGACGCAGCAGUGGGGAAUAUUGCACAAUGGGCGCAAGCCUGAUGCAGCCAUGCCGCGUGUAUGAAGAAGGCCUUCGGGUUGCAAAGUACUUUCGGCGGGGAGUAAGGUGUUGAGGUUAAUAACCUCAGCAAUUGACGUUACCCGCAGAAGAAGCACCGGCUAACUCCGUGUCAGCAGCCGCGGUAAUACGGAGGGUGCAAGCGUUAAUCGGAAUUACUGGGCGUAAAGCGCACGCAGGCGGUCUGUCAAGUCGGAUGUGAAAUCCCCGGGCUCAACCUGGGAACUGCAUUCGAAACUGGCAGGCUAGAGUCUUGUAGAGGGGGGUAGAAUUCCAGGUGUAGCGGUGAAAUGCGUAGAGAUCUGGAGGAAUACCGGUGGCGAAGGCGGCCCCCUGGACAAAGACUGACGCUCAGGUGCGAAAGCGUGGGGAGCAAACAGGAUUAGAUACCCGAGUAGUC
rnacentral:rRNA from 1 species